rnacentral:rRNA from 1 species
ACACGAAGUGAGUGGCGGACGGGUGAGUAACACGUGGGUAACCUGCCCAGAAGCAGGGGAUAACACCUGGAAACAGAUGCUAAUACCGUAUAACAGAGAAAACCGCCUGGUUUUCUUUUAAAAGAUGGCUCUGCUAUCACUUCUGGAUGGACCCGCGGCGCAUUAGCUAGUUGGUGAGGUAACGGCUCACCAAGGCGAUGAUGCGUAGCCGACCUGAGAGGGUAAUCGGCCACAUUGGGACUGAGACACGGCCCAGACUCCUACGGGAGGCAGCAGUAGGGAAUCUUCCACAAUGGACGCAAGUCUGAUGGAGCAACGCCGCGUGAGUGAAGAAGGGUUUCGGCUCGUAAAGCUCUGUUGUUAAAGAAGAACGUGGGUGAGAGUAACUGUUCACCCAGUGACGGUAUUUAACCAGAAAGCCACGGCUAACUACGUGCCAGCAGCCGCGGUAAUACGUAGGUGGCAAGCGUUAUCCGGAUUUAUUGGGCGUAAAGCGAGCGCAGGCGGUCUUUUAAGUCUAAUGUGAAAGCCUUCGGCUCAACCGAAGAAGUGCAUUGGAAACUGGGAGACUUGAGUGCAGAAGAGGACAGUGGAACUCCAUGUGUAGCGGUGAAAUGCGUAGAUAUAUGGAAGAACACCAGUGGCGAAGGCGGCUGUCUGGUCUGUAACUGACGCUGAGGCUCGAAAGCAUGGGUAGCGAACAGGAUUAGAUACCCUGGUAGUCCAUGCCGUAAACGAUGAUUACUAAGUGUUGGAGGGUUUCCGCCCUUCAGUGCUGCAGCUAACGCAUUAAGUAAUCCGCCUGGGGAGUACGACCGCAAGGUUGAAACUCAAAAGAAUUGACGGGGCCCGCACAAGCGGUGGAGCAUGU